rnacentral:rRNA from 1 species
CAGUAGCCGCGGUAAUACAGAGGGUGCGAGCGUUAAUCGGAUUUACUGGGCGUAAAGCGUGCGUAGGCGGCUUUUUAAGUCGGAUGUGAAAUCCCCGGGCUCAACCUGGGAACUGCAUCCAAAACUGGCAAGCUAGAGUAUGGUAGAGGGUGGUGGAAUUUCCUGUGUAGCGGUGAAAUGCGUAGAUAUAGGAAGGAACACCAGUGGCGAAGGCGACCACCUGGACUGAUACUGACACUGAGGUGCGAAAGCGUGGGGAGCAAACAGGAUUAGAUACCCCUGUAGUCCCUGUCUCUUAUAC